CUAAAAUUAAUAAUAGAAAAUUUAUUAAUUUGUUUUGUAUCUUAGUUUACUGAGGAUAAGCUCAAUAAAAAUAAUAAAAUAGUAUACACCUUACUUAAUUAGCCACAUGGGCUUGAAAUUAGCCAUUGUAUUAAAGUUUGUUACAAAAUAGUCUUUAUAUGCAGAAAGAUCAAUAUACUUUUUUUACAGGGGUAACGUGAGAAACCAUGAUAUCUUGAUUCACUUAUGCUAGGAUGAGUAUUGAUGUAUAAGAUAUACAAAUGAAAAUAGAAAGAUAUAUAAAAUAACUUUACUUAAAACAAAAUAAGAAUAAGGAAUUCAGCAAACGCUUAGCUCCGCCUGUUUAUCAAAAACAUGGCUCUUUGUUAGUCAAAUAUAAAGAGUCAGACCUGCCCAGUGAAGAUUUAACGGCCGCGGUACUCUGACCGUGCAAAGGUAGCAUAAUCAUUUGCCUUAUAAUUGAAGGCUUGUAUGAAUGGUUUGACGGGAGCAUUACUGUCUUUUUCUUACUUUAUAGAACUUGACCUCUGGGUGAAGAGGCCCAGAUACAGUUGAAAGACAAAAAGACCCUGUCGAGCUUAAAAAGGAAUCAGAAUAAUUUUAUUAUCCAAAAUUAAUUACUGACUAAUUUUUUUGGUUGGGGCGACCAAGGAACAAAAAAGCUUCCUCUAUUCUCUUAGCUAAUAAGCAUGGAUCCAGAAAAAGCUGAUUAAAAGAAAUAGUUACCGCAGGGAUAACAGCAUAAUCUCUCUUGAGAGACCUAAUCGAAAGAGGGGGUUGUGACCUCGAUGUUGGACUAGAAUAUCCUAAAGAUGCAGAAGUCU
rnacentral:rRNA from 2 species